UACGUAGGGUGCAAGCGUUAAUCGGAAUUACUGGGCGUAAAGCGUGCGCAGGCGGUUAUGUAAGUCAGAUGUGAAAUCCCCGGGCUUAACCUGGGAAUGGCAUUUGAGACUGCAUGGCUAGAGUGUGUCAGAGGGGGGUAGAAUUCCACGUGUAGCAGUGAAAUGCGUAGAGAUGUGGAGGAAUACCGAUGGCGAAGGCAGCCCCCUGGGCCUGCACUGACGCUCAUGCACGAAAGCGUGGGGAGCAAACAGG
rnacentral:rRNA from 1 species